UGUAGCAAGGUUAACCGAAUAGGGGAGCCGAAGGGAAACCGAGUCUUAACUGGGCGUUAAGUUGCAGGGUAUAGACCCGAAACCCGGUGAUCUAGCCAUGGGCAGGUUGAAGGUUGGGUAACACUAACUGGAGGACCGAACCGACUAAUGUUGAAAAAUUAGCGGAUGACUUGUGGCUGGGGGUGAAAGGCCAAUCAAACCGGGAGAUAGCUGGUUCUCCCCGAAAGCUAUUUAGGUAGCGCCUCGUGAAUUCAUCUCCGGGGGUAGAGCACUGUUUCGGCAAGGGGGUCAUCCCGACUUACCAACCCGAUGCAAACUGCGAAUACCGGAGAAUGUUAUCACGGGAGACACACGGCGGGUGCUAACGUCCGUCGUGAAGAGGGAAACAACCCAGACCGCCAGCUAAGGUCCCAAAGUCAUGGUUAAGUGGGAAACGAUGUGGGAAGGCCCAGACAGCCAGGAUGUUGGCUUAGAAGCAGCCAUCAUUUAAAGAAAGCGUAAUAGCUCACUGGUCGAGUCGGCCUGCGCGGAAGAUGUAACGGGGCUAAACCAUGCACCGAAGCUGCGGCAGCGACGCUGAUGCGUUGUUGGGUAGGGGAGCGUUCUGUAAGCCUGUGAAGGUGUGCUGUGAGGCAUGCUGGAGGUAUCAGAAGUGCGAAUGCUGACAUAAGUAACGAUAAAGCGGGUGAAAAGCCCGCUCGCCGGAAGACCAAGGGUUCCUGUCCAACGUUAAUCGGGGCAGGGUGAGUCGACCCCUAAGGCGAGGCCGAAAGGCGUAGUCGAUGGGAAACAGGUUAAUAUUCCUGUACUUGGUGUUACUGCGAAGGGGGGACGGAGAAGGCUAUGUUGGCCGGGCGACGGUUGUCCCGGUUUAAGCGUGUAGGCUGGUUUUCCAGGCAAAUCCGGAAAAUCAAGGCUGAGGCGUGAUGACGAGGCACUACGGUGCUGAAGCAACAAAUGCCCUGCUUCCAGGAAAAGCCUCUAAGCAUCAGGUAACAUCAAAUCGUACCCCAAACCGACACAGGUGGUCAGGUAGAGAAUACCAAGGCGCUUGAGAGAACUCGGGUGAAGGAACUAGGCAAAAUGGUGCCGUAACUUCGGGAGAAGGCACGCUGAUAUGUAGGUGAAGCGACUUGCUCGUGGAGCUGAAAUCAGUCGAAGAUACCAGCUGGCUGCAACUGUUUAUUAAAAACACAGCACUGUGCAAACACGAAAGUGGACGUAUACGGUGUGACGCCUGCCCGGUGCCGGAAGGUUAAUUGAUGGGGUCAGCGCAAGCGAAGCUCUUGAUCGAAGCCCCGGUAAACGGCGGCCGUAACUAUAACGGUCCUAAGGUAGCGAAAUUCCUUGUCGGGUAAGUUCCGACCUGCACGAAUGGCGUAAUGAUGGCCAGGCUGUCUCCACCCGAGACUCAGUGAAAUUGAACUCGCUGUGAAGAUGCAGUGUACCCGCGGCAAGACGGAAAGACCCCGUGAACCUUUACUAUAGCUUGACACUGAACAUUGAGCCUUGAUGUGUAGGAUAGGUGGGAGGCUUUGAAGUGUGG
rnacentral:rRNA from 1 species